AACACAAAUAGGAUUGGAUGAAAAGUAAGGCCUCAACUUCCGAGCUGCAUGGACUAGAGCCAAGACCAGUUUCACUGCACUAGUCUAUUUUUGUUCGGCUCCGUGUAGCGCUCUACUUACAUAGUACACUGGCCUUUGUGUAUUUCCAUCUUGUUGCACAAGCACAACACUAAUUGCCUCUUAUAUCUUAUAAAUAUAAAUAUAAAGUAU
rnacentral:lncRNA from 1 species